GCUGGCAGCUAGCUCUCUGCAACUCACAUGGUUGCCCACUAAAGCUAAGCAGGGCUGCGCCUGGUCAGUUCCGGGAUGGGACCACAUGGGAAAGCUAGGUUGCUGCCGGAG
rfam:Danio rerio chromosome 7 genomic contig CTG751, GRCz11 reference primary assembly.